CUUUAUCUACCCGUUUUGUCGGCUUCUCCUUUGUUUUGCCAUCUGUGAUUUUUGCAUUCGUCAUCGGUAUACACUUACCCGUUGUUGAUUAUGUCGACGACAGUCGGAUGGUUGAUGAUACUCUUGGGUACGCCACUGCAUUGUGUCAGUAGUUCAUUAAUAUGCUUUUUAUAUACCUAUGUUAUAGGUUGAUAGGUACCUUAAUUUGUUUACCAAUAAAAUGUCAUUUCCAUAUCUACAAAAAUUAUCAUUCAAACUUUUUUCCUUGAGUUUUUCAUUCUGCCAUAUGAAUUCAGAAUCAGAAAUAUGCCUCAACAUCUCAUAUACUUUUGACUCAUCGUCGCAUGUAGUACCUAAUAUCAAUAUAUUGACAGGUUGGGGAAAACAAAUUUUUCCACAACGCCUACAAAAACAAAUCAUACUUAAGUUUAAAAAAAAAAUAAAAUUCAACCAAAAAUCAACAUGAAUGACCACGAAUUAAGAGGUGACCUUUCUUCGGAAGAGGACAUCGAAGAACCGGAGGUUGCGAAAGUGUGUAUGAAUUAUGUAAGACCCAAAAAUGAAACGAAAGAAGAGAAGAAAGCACGAAAAAAAAUGGUGAAAGAAGAAAAAGCCGAAAAACGUAAAUUGAAAGUUAAGAAGAAAGAUAAAAAGAAGAGAGAAAAGAAGAUGGGGAGAAAAUAAUUGAUUUUAUCGAAUAUUUUAAUUUGUGUGUUAUGAAUUUUCGUUCGUAUUAUCGUGUUUUAAGAAAAAUUGAGUGUUAAAAUAUACAUAGCGUUAUACCUAAGUAGGUAUUUCAAAUUGUAAGUGUAUGAAUUGUUUACUGGUAAUAUCGAAAAUGUUUGAAUUGAGCAUAUGAAAUUUUUUAUACAUAUAUUUAUCCAUAUUACAUAGUAAAACAGUUA